AAAGCCUAGUGACCAGCACCUCUCACACAGCAGACACAUGUAACAUUAGGUAGGCCAACUAACAAAGCCUAGUGACCAGCACCUCUCACACAGGAGACACAUGUAACAUUAGGUAGGCCAACUCACAAAGCCUAGUGACCAGCACCUCUCACACAGCAGACACAUGUAACAUUAGGUAGGCCAACUAACAAAGUCUAGUGACCAGCACCUCUCACACAGCAGACACAUGUAACAUUAGGUAGGCCAACUAACAAAGCCUAGU